AUUGAACGCUGGCGGCAUGCUUUACACAUGCAAGUCGAACGGCAGCACGGGGGCAACCCUGGUGGCGAGUGGCGAACGGGUGAGUAAUACAUCGGAACGUGUCCUGUUGUGGGGGAUAACCAGUCGAAAGACUGGCUAAUACCGCAUGAGCUCGGGGAGAGGAAAGUGGGGGACCGCAAGGCCUCACGCGAUUGGAGCGGCCGAUGUCCGAUUAGCUAGUAGGUAGGGAAAGGCCUACCUAGGCAACGAUCGGUAGCUGGUCUGAGAGGAUGAUCAGCCACACUGGGACUGAGACACGGCCCAGACUCCUACGGGAGGCAGCAGUGGGGAAUUUUGGACAAUGGGGGCAACCUGAUCCGGCCAUGCCGCGUGAGUGAAGAAGGCCUGGUGUAAGU
rnacentral:rRNA from 1 species